rnacentral:rRNA from 1 species
UACAGAGACUGCAAGCGUUAUUCGGAUUCACUGGGCGUAAAGGGUGCGCAGGCGGCCGUGUGUGUGAGGCGUGAAAGCCCGGGGCUUAACCCCGGAAUUGCACCUCAAACUACACGGCUAGAGCAUUGGAGAGGGUAGCAGAAUUCACGGUGUAGCAGUGAAAUGCGUAGAUAUCGUGAGGAAUACCAGAGGCGAAGGCGGCUACCUGGACAAUUGCUGACGCUCAGGCACGAAGGUCAGGGGAGCAAACGGG